CAGGCAGCCAAGUGAUAAGUGCAGGCCU
rnacentral:piRNA from 1 species